rnacentral:lncRNA from 1 species
CAAGUUUUAUACUGAACAUUUUUAAUAUUUUUACAAAGAUUUUAGCUAAAUUUUUAUCACUAUGGAGGGAAUGAUUGAACAAGUUAUGUCUUUAUGUCCUGGGUGUGAACGAGACGACGUCGAAAGAGAUUUAAAUAUAACAGGAGACAUUGAAAUGACUAUAAAUCACGCUUUGGAUGGCAUGGUAUGAUAAUUAAUUAAUAUGCGGUGUGUUUUGACAUAAAAACAAUAGUUUAUUGUAGUUUUUAAGGUGAAGGGUAUUGUUAGUAUAUUCCCGAAUGAGAGUAGUUAAAAAUAGAUAAUUAUAUAUUAAAAUCGAAUGCUUUAAUGUAGAAUUAGAGUAAUUCCAUGCCAUUUCAACACAGGCAUGACACCCACCCUCUCCAAAUUUCUUUAUAUUUCGCAGGCAGUUAACAUUGUGUGGGAAUAGUUUAAGUUCAAAAUUUGAGCAUCGUAGCUGCAAUAGUUUUUGAGAUAUCGCAAUUUGAAAUAUGGCCCGAAAAGCAAAAAAGUGGGCGUGGCCAGUGCUAAAUUCACCAUUACCCUAUUUUACAUUUUGACCUGUAACUUCAUACCUGUACAUGGUAUAUCCAUCAAAAUUUGCACAAAGAUGUAUUUGUAUGCGGAGAUUUCAAAUAUUGCACUUUCAUCUUUGUAUCUGCAACCAGUAAUGUGUUAUGGCACAGCAAAAAGUCUAAUUAUGUGUUUCUGAAGACACGAAAUAUACGUCAUCUUUAUUGGAAAAUUUUUUAUGGAAGCCAUACAGAUACAACAGUAAUUUUUAUUCAACAUCAUAUCCACAUGCUAUUCUACUUUUAAGCAAAAUUUGGUGAUGGUUAGUUGCCUGCUUUAAAAAGUAGAGCCCUUUAAAGUUGUCAUAUUUUCUAAAUAACUUUAAUAGGACGUUUUGGGUGUUUGUUAAGAAUAAAAUACAUUCAUUGAGAAAUGAGACUGCCAAAUACUUUAAUGUUUGAUUCUAUCAUUCUUUUUUAAUAGUACAUUAUGUUCUCCCAGAGUAAGUGUUAUUUCUUGUAUCAAAUUGCCUUUGAUCAAAAUCGAUGCAGUAUAUAUAUAGAGAAGUGCGUAAGACUUCUUGGUCAGUUUGUACUGCCUCCCAGUGACUAUUGUUCGGGACACCAAUGUCAGAAACAAUGUUCUCAUCCGAAACCCAACAAGUAUUAGUGAUUGACCAAUAAUUAUCAAUUAUUCAUCCAAUAAUAUACCCGAUUCUGAUUUUCUAUGACGUCAUAAUCCAUUUCGAGAUUUUAAUGAUAAUUUCCAACGUAUAACAUGUUAUUAGUAGCAACCAAAGUUUGUUAAACCUGUACAUAAAUGACACGCUUCACGUAUCAUUUAACGGUUUGCUCCACACCUACUAAGCAACACGCUACCGUUCGCGCAAGAGAUUAAACAGUUGUUGUUUUCACAUAAAAAAGUGCAUUCAACGUGUAUCACCGCACAAUAUAUAUGAUUUUUAAAGUGCGUAUUUUCUCAACAAUCGGUUUUACACAAUCGAAAAAUACAAAUUAUUCUACCGAUUCCGAUUGUCUACCGAUAAGCAAAAAUCGGUCCAAUUCCGAUUAUAAUUUUUUAUUUAUUUUCUUAUUAAAACAUCUUGUAACACGGUAGCUAAUCAACUACAAAAAUAUUAGCAAGGUUGUCGUUACUUUUCACUAGGCCGUGUACUUACAGACAGUAUAAGAGAUUCCCAUGCACCCACCCUCCCCGAACCACCCAAAUAAUAUUAGAAAGACAUUCAAAGUUUAUUAUUCAUUCCAACCCCACCCAGAUAAAAUUAUAUAAAAAUUUUAUUUCUUUCAUUCCAAACUUUAACGGCAGCAUAACCGAAAGUUUGUUUCAUUGAAUUUGUUUUUGGCUUCGACAACAUCAACUUAUUUUUGUUAUUUUUUAAUUCAUAUCGAUCUGAAUUAUAUAGUUUAAACAUGUCCGAAAUGUUUUCGUGAAAAUGGCAUGUAAGUUCUUUUGAUACAUAUUUUAGUUGUUGCUCCAUCCUUCUUUCACCUAACGUUUUCCAAUCUAGUUUCUUUAAAAUAUCUAUGGAGCGUAUUUCAUAUGAGUCAUCUGUAAUAACUUUUGCAGCUCAGUUUUGGAGUUUCUGAAGAUUGCCUCUUAAAGAUUCGCCACAGUUACCCCAAAUCAUCGAGCAGUAAUCAAAGUGUGGUUGGACUAAAGCUCGAUAAAGAUGUUUAAGAGUUUCCGUUGAAACGUAUGGCUGACACGAGUAGACGACGCAAUUAUCGGUCAAUCGCUAACGAGUAUU